GUGCUCACUUCGGCAGCACAUAUAUUAAAGUUGCAACCACACAGAGAAAGUUAACUUGGCCCCUGCACACGGAUGACGUGCAAAUUCAGGAAGCAUUACAUGUUUAA
ensembl:snRNA U6 U6 spliceosomal RNA